GUUCCCAUGGGAUCUAGGUGAUUAUGAUACUUUACGGAUCGCAUAGCCUUGCGCUGGCGACGGUUCAUUCAAAUUUCUGCCCUAUAACUUUCGAUGGUAAGGUAUUGGCUUACCAUGGUUUCAACGGGUAACGGGGAAUUAGGGUUCGAUUCCGGAGAGGGAGCCUGAGAAACGGCUACCACAUCCAAGGAAGGCAGCAGGCGCGCAAAUUACCCAAUCCCGACACGGGGAGGUAGUGACAAUAAAUACUGAUACAGGGCUCUUUUGGGUCUUGUAAUUGGAAUGAGUACAAUUUAAACCUCUUAACGAGGAACAAUUGGAGGGCAAGUCUGGUGCCAGCAUCCGCGGUAAUUCCAGCUCC
rnacentral:rRNA from 1 species